rnacentral:sRNA from 1 species
AAAAAAAAUGAUUAAGCUUUAGUAGAAUGCUAAAGGUAAAUCCCAAGCUAUGCAUACAGAGAUAAGAUCCCAUCUACCCAGUGUAUAUCAAAUGAAGCUCUAAUGGUAAUCCCAUCUCCAAUCCCAAUAUAAGAACUUAACUCUACCCUUUGCAUUCAUGAAUCUUUUAAGCCCUUUUUCUAAUCAUUCUUUUCUUUUCUCUUAACUCUAGGAGAAGCUUUCUCAACACUUUGUUACAUCUAGCGGAUUUGGAUUUCUUUCACAACUAAGGUUCCUGUUUUUAACAUUUUAAAGCCAAGGGCUUUUGCCCAUCUUCAAUAGCUAACAAGAACUCUUUCUUUUCUUUACAAAUCCCAAAACCUUUACUAGACUUUUUCUGCUUCUUUAGCUUACUUCACUUAGAGUCUUUUACCUUUUCUUAUCAAUGAAUCAACCCCCCUUU